GUACUGAAAACUGAUAAGUAGUGAAAGCGACCUCGUCGGUGUCUAGAAUACCCGCGGUAUGACGCAUCCUCUGACACUUGUCCAAAACGUCCUUGGCAUCCUCGCCCUCUGCACCAAUGAAUGUCGGAGGCUGAAGCGUGGAAAAUCUCUCCAACCUAAAAUGCUCAUCCUAUAGCAGGAACUACAUAGUCCUGAUCAGCUGCAAACAGGCUGGGCUGGAUGUGUCCCCGGCAUUUGAAGUCCAU
rnacentral:lncRNA from 1 species